GCCAUACUAUUCUCCCGAGCUUCAUAAUUUUUGCUGACCUGUCCCACUACUAAUUGAGAGUCACUGUAGGCUUGAAGCCGAUCUACUUCUAAUUCUUUGGCGAUCCUCAGUCUUGCAAUCAGAGCUUCAUAUUCUGCUCCGUUAUUUGUCACAGAAAAUUCGAAGCGCAGCACAUACUCCACAAUAAUUCCAUCUGGAUUGAUCAAGA
rnacentral:lncRNA from 1 species